rnacentral:rRNA from 1 species
CCUACGGUGCGCAGCAGUGAGGAAUAUUGGUCAAUGGACGAGAGUCUGAACCAGCCAAGUAGCGUGAAGGAUGACUGCCCUAUGGGUUGUAAACUUCUUUUAUAUGGGAAUAAAAUGUUCCACGUGUGGGAUUUUGUAUGUACCUUAUGAAUAAGGAUCGGCUAACUCCGUGCCAGCAGCCGCGGUAAUACGGAGGCUCCGAGCGUUAUCCGGAUUUAUUGGGUGUAAAGGGAGCUUAGGUGGAUUGUUAAGUCAGUUGUGAAAGUUUGCGGCUCAACCGUAAAAUUGCAGUUGAAAAUGGCAGUAUUGAGUACAGUAGAGGUGGGCGGAAUUCGUGGUGUAGCGGUGAAAUGCUUAGAUAUCACGAAGAACUCCGAUGGCGAAGGCAGUUCACUGGACUGCAACUGACACUGAGGCUCGAAAGUGUGGGUAUCAAACAGGAUUAGAUACCCUGGUAGUC